CACAGCAAGAAGGCAGCCGUCUACAUGCCAGGAAGAGAGCCCUUAACAGGAACUGACCCUGCCAGACCUUUACCUGCAGCUUCCAGCCAAAAGAACUAUCAGAUUUAUUUGGAGAAAACAGAAAUCCCACAACCCAAAGGAUGGGAUUUUACAUCAAGACAUCUCCCAGGCUGACAUUUCUUGGCAACCUACGGAAGCUGUUCUGAUGAGCCUCUGUGUUAGUAAAGAAUACAUCUCUAUAAAUGGACUGCAGUACAGCUGACCUUGGACAGGCUUAUUUGGGCCUAACUGGGUUCUAAGCUUUCUGCUGGGUUCAGCUCUUUGUACUUCAGGCAACAACACCUGAGAGGAUUUUUCUGGCAGGCGAAAAAAUGUUUGCAAUGACUUUGAUGAUACGGUGACUGAGGUUUUGGCAGAAAUGUGAAUAUAAGCAAGCAUACUAUGAGAUACAUGAUCCAGUCACUGUAACCUUCUUUGGAACUAGUAUUGAUCCAGCAGCAGCUUUCAGUACUGAUCCUAAAAACAAAUAAUAUGAUCGGAUCAGAUCAUCACAAAGGGAGCAGGAAUUUGAAGGAUGUAUCUGGGUUAUUCAAACCGAAAACACCUAACUCCAGUUCAUUAAAAAUCAUUUCAUAUUUGUAUAAAA